CAGCCGCCACGGUAAUACGGAGGGUGCAAGCGUUAAUCGGAAUUACUGGGCGUAAAGCGUGCGUAGGCGGGAGGGCACGUCCGUCGCUGAAAUCCCCCGGCUCAACCGGGGAACGGGCGCGGAUACGACUCUUCUGGAGGAACGUAGGGGGACCUGGAACUUCCGGUGGAGCGGUGAAAUGCGUUGAGAUCGGAAGGAACGCCCGUGGCGAAAGCGAGGUCCUGGACGUUUACUGACGCUGAGACGCGAAAGCCAGGGGAGCGAACGGGAUUAGAUACCCGCGUAGUCCCUGUCUCUUAUA
rnacentral:rRNA from 1 species